GCUGCGGUUAAAGGCUCGCAGUUGAAUGUCAGUAUCAAGUACAGCGAUGGUGGACGUUGGGGUGUGGGAGUGUUCGGGCGUGCGUUUUCGAGAAGCCUCACGGUCUAUCGUGCGUGCGUUCGCCUCCCCAUUUAGCUCCCGUCCGUAACAAGCCUCCUUACUUGCGUACAAAGUGGAUCAAUCGGAACAUAUAUGUCUGGGCCACGUGUGUGUGUCACCCGCAAGGGUAUCGCGCGUGUCACCCGGGCAGUGAAAGUCGUGGGUCGAUUGUCACCUUGAGUAAAUCAGAGUGCUCAAAGCAGUCGUAAAGAACGUGCAGCUCCGCUGUACGCUCUGUGAGAAAUGUCAUUAUUGACAGACAGUCUUGAUUUUGCAUGGUAUGUCGGAAGACGCCGUACUUCCUGUUGGUAACGAGUCUGGUGCGGGCUUGCACACGAUCGCGCUUGCGUGUGACAGUGCAACAUCACGAGACCAACAGGUGCGGAAUGAUUAACAGGCACGGUCGAGGGCAUUGGUAUUGCGAGGCGAGAGGUGAAAUUCUAUGACCCCCGCAAGACCUCCUGAAGCGAAAGCGUCUGCCA
rnacentral:rRNA from 1 species